UAAUGGCGGAUCAUAAGCAUUCAAAUGACAGAUCAAAAUUAAAUACAUUGUACUAACGAGAUACAGCGAAUCAACUAUAUACGAACGCCAACUACUUUCAGUAAAUCUCACGAUGGUACGCAUAACAAUGAGAAACAGAUGUGGAACGUGACGAGGUUGUUGGAGACGAGGAUUCGACGGCUCAGCAUCCAAUGGCAGAGGCCAGCCAGCCCAGCCACUCCUGCAGGAUUCUCCGAUCUGGAGGCGUGUGCAACUUACGAUGGUUCGUUCGCGAUAUCCUCGCCGAGCUUGUAUAAAUAAGCGGCUCACGACGCUAAAAUCCUGAGCCAGCUGAAAAAGGCCGCUCUUCCAGAGGAAUUUAGUCGUAUAACGUCCGCAGGAUGCUCAUCGAUUCCCGAUUAACGCGCCGCGAGGAUGCAACCCUCGGUGCACACGCGACGCUGCAAUUUUAUUCCAGCGAUUCCUCGCCUCGGGCCACCGUCCACUUUACGACGCCUCUUCCUUUCUUUCUCGCUUAUGGCUAUCAGGAGAAUAGCAUCCUUUGUAAAUACGCCUUUUUGCCAGUCUUCUCGUUACCUCGCGAUAUGUAGAGGAGAUGAAGUCGUGUAACAGAGAUAUUGAUCGGUCAGCUUACGGUGCGAGUCUUAACUAGGUUUUCCCCGACUUCGAAACGACCGAUGUUGCGCGAGUUUCGAGUCACCGGAUGCCCGGGAAAUGAUUUUCAUCCUUUUGCUAAACGAGAAUUUUUCGUAAUUUCAUUGUCUGACUUGAUUCUAAGCUUAAUUCUGAGCGUAAUUUGAUUCUAAGCUUUCGAUAAAUCCGAGAGAAUUCUCAGAUACUUAACAACGCGUCUUCUACGUUAUACCACCAUUUGUUAAGUCAAAUGUUUGUAACUUUUCCGGUUAGAAAUAGUAAUUAUGAAGAGAAAAAUUCAGGGUGAAACUUUGCCCGUUUGCAUCAAGUAAAACGUAAUCUAAUGUUUAUUAAAAUAAAUAUUCAUUGGAAGCAAGUUCAAGGAUGAAGUUUCGCUCGCCUGUCUUAAAUGACAGAUAAAACUUAAUUACCUGGCGCUAUGCUUAUUUACAUGCCCAUGUUAUCGACAUCAUUUGUAACCUCGAACAACA